UGUAAAGCUCUGUCAGGAGUUAAGAAAUAUAAGUAUGCUAAUACCAUAUUUAUUUGACGAAGGCUCCAAAGGAAGCCACGGCUAACUCUGUGCCAGCAGCCGCGGUAAUACAGAGGUGGCAAGCGUUGUUCGGAAUUAUUGGGCGUAAAGAGCACGUAGGUGGGUUUGUAAGUCAGAUGUGAAAGCCUUCUGUUCAACGGAAGAAUUGCAUCUGAAACUGCGAGUCUUGAGUGUAGGAGGGGAGAAUGGAACUUCUGGCGGAGCGGUGAAAUGCGUAGACAUCAGAAGGAACACCGGCGGCGAAAGCGAUUCUCUGGCCUAUUACUGACACUCAGUGUGCGAAAGCUAGGGGAGCAAACGGGAUUAGAUACCCCGGUAGUCCUAGCCGUAAACGAUGGGCACUAAGUAGAGGGAAUUACCGAUGUUCUCUCUGCCGUAGCUAACGCAUUAAGUGCCCCGCCUGGGGAGUACGGCCGCAAGGCUAAAACUCAAAAGAAUUGACGGGGGCUCGCACAAGCGGUGGAGCAUGUGGCUUAAUUCGAUGCAACGCGAAGAACCUUACCGGGGCUUGACAUGGUAGAAGUAGAAACCCGAAAGGGUAACGAACGGUAUCCAGUCCGUAACUAUCACAGGUGUUGCAUGGCUGUCGUCAGCUCGUGUCGUGAGACGUUGGGUUAAGUCCCCUAACGAGCGAAACCCUUGUUUUUAGUUACCAGCGGGUUAUGCCGGGUACUCUAGAAAGACUGCCGUCGUCAAGACGGAGGAAGGUGGGGAUGACGUCAAGUCAUCAUGGCCCUUAUGCCCCGGGCUGCACACGUGCUACAAUGGUCGGUACAAACGGAAGCGAAGCCGAGAGGUGAAGCGAAUCCUAA
rnacentral:rRNA from 1 species